rnacentral:rRNA from 1 species
GAUGAACGCUGGCGGCGUGCCUAAUACAUGCAAGUCGAGCGAACGGACGAGAAGCUUGCUUUUCUGAUGUUAGCGGCGGACGGGUGAGUAACACGUGGAUAACCUACCUAUAAGACUGGGAUAACUACGGGAAACCGGAGCUAAUACCGGAUAAUACUUUGAACCGCAUGGUUCAAAAGUGAAAGACGGUCUUGCUGUCACAUAUAGAUGGACCCGCGCUGCAUUAGCUAGUUGGUAAGGUAACGCCUUACCAAGGCAACGAUGCAUAGCGGACCUGAGGGGUGGAUCGGCCACACUGGAACGAGGACACGUCCCGGACUCCUACGGGGGGCAGCAGUGGGGAAUCUGCAGCAAUGGGCGAAGGCCUGACGGGGCAACGCCGCGGGGGGAAGGAAGGUCUUGGGUUGGUAAACCCUUGUUAUUGGGGAAAAACAUAUGUGUAUGUAACCGUGCUCAUCUGGAGGGUCCCAAAUCAGAAGGCCCCGGCUAACUCGUU